GCCGUGUGUCGUCGACCUGCCAGGCGCGCGCCAGCCGACGUCCGCGCGGUCCUUGCUCGGGACACCCUCCCCCUCAGGAUCCAUAACCCGGAGGGCCCGUAGCUAAUACCGUGCAAGUGCCCAGCACGAGGACGGGAGGCUGUCAGCCAUCUACACCCGGCCCCUUACCCAGCCCGCCACCGCCACCGCGGCCCGGAAUCUGGAGAAGCAUGAGGAGGCUCUGAGUGUACAGACGCGGAGAGAGACACAGGACACUCAGACGUAUUGAGACAGCACGAAGGAUUUGGUGCAGAGGCCGGACGAUCCCCUGUCCAGGGUUCCCAGUGCCAAACAAAAGGCCCCAUUGACGUCCUCACACUUGUCCCCCACGUCCAGGACCUAGGGUCAGGCUUGGCCACCCACUCCCUGCUGUGCCCUGAGGUGCUCUGGCCCAGGCUGCCUUCCUCCCUCCUGCAAAUGACCCCAGAUGGCUCUGCUCCAGGACCCCCCCUCCCAUGUUGCAUCCGAACAGGACUCGGGGCCCAGCCCGUGGGAGGAGGGCACAGGAGCCUCUGUACCCCGGGGAAGUCCCCCCACGGUCGGAUCUGUGCAUCUGCCAAGGAGGCAGGGCCAGACCCAGAGCCUGGAUGCCCUCUACCAGCCCCGGGGCCGCCCCGUUCCCUCUGCUCUGCCUCAGGCAAGGGGAAGAAUGGAAGCCGGGACUGGUCAGAUUGCCUUCCUCAGCCUCCCGGAAUGGGACCGCCUGCCUCAGCUUACCCAAGGGGAACUGGGGGAUCUGGCUGCCAAGGUGGGGGGGGUGGAAUAGGGGCACCCACCCCCAAACCAGAUUUGUCCCCUUGGGACCAUGAUGGCGGUGCGAGCAGGGCUGGCUGAGCCCGCGUGUAACAGCACCCACGGCCGCCUUCCCACGUGAGGACGGGAAGAGAUGCCGGGAAGGGAGUGGCACCAGGGGGCCAAGGGGUGUCUGCAGAGCCCUGGUAGGGACGGAGGGCGCUGGGAGCCACAGGCCGGUCACGUCCCCUGUGGAACGGGGAGCUACGAGGCACAGAGGGGCCCACGCGCCUGGGGGGGACGCCCCUCCCACCCACAAUAAGGAACCACAAUGCCACGUAGGUGCCCUGGGGAGUGCGGGUUGGCCGCAAGGACAGCUGGGUCCGCCCAGGCCCCAGUGGGUUGCAGAUGCCGCCUUCUCCCCCCACAGACUCACAUUCCUCUUCCACCUUCCCACCCCCACCCGCACCA